rnacentral:rRNA from 1 species
CCCUUAGAGUUUGAUCCUGGCUCAGAAUGAACGUUGGCGGCGUGGAUUAGGCAUGCGAGUCGUACGAGAACCCGCAAGGGGGAAAGUGGCGAACGGGGUAGUAAUGCGUAGGUGACGUGCCCUGCGGUCGGGGAUAGCUUAGGGAAACUUAAGGUAAUACCCGAUGACACCAUGAGGUUUGAAUACCAUAUGGUCAAAGGUGUGAUUCCACCACAGGAGCGGCUUGCGUGGUAUUAGCUAGUUGGUGAGGUAACGGCUCACCAAGGCAACGAUGCCUAGGGGAUGUUAGCGCAUGAUCCCCACCACUGGGACUGAGAUACUGCCCAGACACCUACGGGUGGCUGCAGUCAAGAAUCUUCGGCAAUGGGGGAAACCCUGACCGAGCGACGCCGCGUGUGGGAUGAAGGCCCUUGGGUUGUAAACCACUGUCAGAGGGGAUGAAGUGCUAGAAAGCUAUCUUUCUAGUUUGACAUAGCCUCAGAGGAAGCACGGGCUAAGUUCGUGCCAGCAGCCGCGGUAAGACGAACUGUGCAAACGUUAUUCGGAAUCACUGGGCUUGAAGAGUGCGUAGGCGGUUUCGUAAGUAGGGGUGUGAAAGCCCUCGGCUCAACCGGGGGUAUUUGCGUCCUAACUGCGAGGCUAGAGUGAGGGUAGGGGGUUGUGUGGAACUUCCAGUGGAGCGGUGAAUGUGUUUGAUUAUUGGAAGGAACCGCCGGUAGACGAAAGCGACACACUGUAUCUUUGUUCUGACGCUGAGGCACGAAAGCCAGAGUAGCAAACGGGAUUAGAUACCCCCGGUAGUCCUGUCGUAAACGAUGAGUACUAGUGGAGGAUGAUCGCACGGUCUUCUCACGGAACGAUAGUUUCAGUACCUCCCGCCUGAGGAGGUAUGUCGCAAGGCUGAAACUCAAUGAACGACAGUGCUCACACUAGCGAUGAGCCAUGUGUGCCUUUAAGUCGCACUCCUA